rnacentral:rRNA from 1 species
GAACUAUGGUUAAGGAACUCGGCAAAAUGCCCCCGUAACUUCGGGAGAAGGGGGGCCAUCACUGGUGAUAGCACUUGCUGCUUGAGCUGGGGGUGGCCGCAGAGACCAGCGAGAAGCGACUGUUUACUAAAAACACAGGUCCGUGCGAAGCCGUAAGGCGAUGUAUACGGACUGACGCCUGCCCGGUGCUGGAACGUUAAGGGGACCGGUUAGCUGCCUUUCGGGGUGGCGAAGCUGAGAACUUAAGCGCCAGUAAACGGCGGUGGUAACUAUAACCAUCCUAAGGUAGCGAAAUUCCUUGUCGGGUAAGUUCCGACCUGCACGAAUGGCGUAACGACUUCUCGACUGUCUCAACCAUAGGCCCGGUGAAAUUGCACUACGAGUAAAGAUGCUCGUUUCGCGCAGCAGGACGGAAAGACCCCGGGACCUUUACUAUAGUUUGAUAUUGGUGUUCGGUUCGGCUUGUGUAGGAUAGGUGGGAGACUGUGAAGCGGCCACGCCAGUGGUUGUGGAGUCGUCGUUGAAAUACCACUCUGGUCGUGCUGGAUGUCUAACCUGGGUCCGUGAUCCGGAUCAGGGACAGUGUCUGAUGGGUAGUUUAACUGGGGCGGUUGCCUCCUAAAGAGUAACGGAGGCGCCCAAAGGUUCCCUCAGCCUGGUUGGUAAUCAGGUGUUGAGUGUAAGUGCACAAGGGAGCUUGACUGUGAGACCGACGGGUCGAGCAGGGACGAAAGUCGGGACUAGUGAUCCGGCAGUGGCUUGUGGAAGCGCUGUCGCUCAACGGAUAAAAGGUACCCCGGGGAUAACAGGCUGAUCUUCCCCAAGAGUCCAUAUCGACGGGAUGGUUUGGCACCUCGAUGUCGGCUCGUCGCAUCCUGGGGCUGGAGUCGGUCCCAAGGGUUGGGCUGUUCGCCCAUUAAAGCGGUACGCGAGCUGGGUUUAGAACGUCGUGAGACAGUUCGGUCCCUAUCCGCUGUGCGCGUAGGAAUAUUGAGAAGGGCUGUCCCUAGUACGAGAGGACCGGGACGGACGAACCUCUGGUGUGCCAGUUGUCCUGCCAAGGGCAUGGCUGGUUGGCUACGUUCGGAAAGGAUAACCGCUGAAAGCAUCUAAGCGGGAAGCCUGCUUCGAGAUGAGUAUUCCCACCCUCUUGAGGGGUUAAGGCUCCCAGUAGACGACUGGGUUGAUAGGCCAGAUGUGGAAGCCCGGUAACGGGUGGAGCUGACUGGUACUAAUAGGCCGAGGGCUUGUCCUCAGUUG